UAUCAAAUAGUCAAAAAGGUACUACUAAUUAAUUGGUAGUUAUGAUCAAAUAAAAAGUAACAAAUUGAAAAGACACUUCAUGUAACGCCCGUUCAUAAAUUGUUAUUUAAUGAAGCACCUAUUCGUGGUCUAUAUAAACCUAUAGGGCGUGUUUGGUUCGCUUUUUUUUCACCCUGGAAUUGGAAUCGAAAUGGGUAAAUCCAUUUGUGGGUAUUUGGUACGUGGGAGUCCCAUUCCGAUUCCGAUUCCCGAGUGGAAUGGGAAUCCUCCAAUCAUCUCUUUUUCAAUCCGGUCUAGGAGGCCGGAUUGAAAGUUGAAUCUGGACGGAAUGGAUAUUUAUUCGGAUUAAAUUUAUUUUUUUAAUUUUUUUAAUUAAAAUAUGAGUUAAAAUUUAAAAAUUAAAUAUAUAUUUUUAAAUUUUAAUUUAAAUUUAAAUUAAAAAUUAAAAUUUAAUCAAGUAUUUCGAAUCUAACUUAUGAAUUUGAAUUUAAAUUAAAUUUUAAUUUAUAUAAAAUUUUAUUCAAAUUUUAUUUCAAACUUAAAUUAAAUUUAUGGAUUCAAAUUAAAAUUUAAAUUGUAAUAAUUUGAAUAAAUCAAAAUUUAGUUUCAUAUUUUGAAUUAUCCACUCAACUUCAAAGUUUAAUUUUUUUUAAAAAAAAUAGAUUUAAAAUUUUGAUAUUAUUUCAAAAUUUUGAUGUAAAUUUUGAAUAUUUAAUUUUUAAUUUGAAUUUAAAUUAAUAUAUUAUAAAUAUAAUGUUAGUAUUUUAAUUUGAUUACGUUUUUUAUAUCCACCUGAACCAAAUACCGACAAUGGGAAUGAUAUAUUCCGAUUCCGAUUCAGGUGAUGAACCAAACAGAAUUAGGUAAUGAGUCAUUCCGAUUCCGAUUCCAGCUUAUUUUGAUUCUGAUUCCGAUUCCGACUCCGACUUCGAACCAAACACACCCAUAGAGUUGAAUCAGUUGACUGCUGAAGUAUAGAUCAGAAGUUCAAUUCUCCAUUCACAAUAAUUUCUUUCUUAUUUCUAAUUCUAUUUCUUCUUAGCAAUUUAAUCGAGUGAAUGCUCAAAGGUUCGACUUCGUGUUUGUAAACAUAAUUGGAGUUUAUAUUUUAUUAUAUAUCCUGCGAGGCUAUUUGUUGACCCAGUG
rnacentral:lncRNA from 1 species